UACUGCACAUUCACGAGGAUU
rnacentral:piRNA from 1 species